rnacentral:rRNA from 1 species
GACGAACGCUGGCGGCGUGCUUAACACAUGCAAGUCGAGCGCUGAAGCCUCUUUGGGGGUGGAUGAGCGGCGAACGGGUGAGUAAUACAUCGGAACGUGCCCAGUCGUGGGGGAUAACGUAGCGAAAGCUACGCUAAUACCGCAUACGAUCUGUGGAUGAAAGCGGGGGACCGUAAGGCCUCGCGCGAUUGGAGCGGCCGAUGUCAGAUUAGGUAGUUGGUGGGGUAAAGGCCCACCAAGCCGACGAUCUGUAGCUGGUCUGAGAGGACGACCAGCCACACUGGGACUGAGACACGGCCCAGACUCCUACGGGAGGCAGCAGUGGGGGAAUUUUGGACAAUGGGCGCAAGCCUGAUCCAGCAAUGCCGCGUGCAGGAUGAAGGCC